rnacentral:rRNA from 1 species
UACAGAGGGUGCGAGCGUUAAUCGGAAUUACUGGGCGUAAAGCGUGCGUAGACGGUUAUUUAAGUCGGGUGUGAAAGCCCCGGGCUCAACCUGGGAAUUGCAUUCGAGACUGAAUAGCUAGGGUACGGUAGAGGGAAGCGGAAUUUCCGGUGUGGCGGUGAAAUGCGUAGAUAUCGGAAGGAACAUCAGUGGCGAAAGCGGCUUCCUGGACCAGUACCGACGUUCAGGCACGAAAGCGUGGGGAGCAAACAGG